AGCUUGUCGAUAGAGGAUACCAACCCAGCAGACUAUACAAGCUACCGCCUCUCCAACUCGCCUGUGUAUAUGGCCAUGUAUUACCCACGACUGGAGGAGGAGGAGACAGAGCUCGAGGCCUUAAGAAAAGAAAAUGAAGACCUACGAUCAGUGUGCAGGCUAUUGAAUGCCGCCCGCCCGAGGUGAUAUGUGACAACCAUUCUGUGGCUUACUCACAACACACAUCGUAGACGCUAUUCAUCAUGGGUUUGAUGAAUACACAACAAUAUGAAAUAAUUUUUGAACAAAUAAAUGCAACGCGCUUCAUUAGUCAGUGCCCUCACUGCGAGGCCGAAAGAAAUAGAUUAUAUCAAAAAGUUGCCUAAAUUUCACCGAGCUUUAACCAUUUAGAAGAUCAGCAAAAGACUGCAUUUUACUCAAAUCACAAAACCCACUUAUUUUGCAGAAAGUGGGUCAAUUCAUCAACCACAGCCUUCAAAGAAGAAGUCAAACCUUACAAUAGUAAACUUAGUACCUUAUAGUAGAUUAGAAACCAAUGUUAUGUACUGAAUGAUUUCAAGACUAU